GUUCGUGCUGAAGGCCUGUUUCCUAGGCUACAGACGAGGGACUGGUUCCUUAUUCGUGCCUAGGGGAAAGUCCCCGGACCUUUGGCAGAAAGUGCCGCGUGCACUUGCACGUUGACUUUCCCUGCUUUGCACAGUAAUGUCCGCCAAGAAGCGAUCCCGAGUGCGCGGGGGAGCUGAGCGGCGUGUUGCAGGGGCGUCAUCCGUCAGCACUUCUAGUUACGCAGGCAGUGCGCAUCUGCGCACCAACCACACGGGGCUCAUUCUCAGCGCGGC
ensembl:ribozyme RNase_MRP RNase MRP